rnacentral:rRNA from 1 species
UACGUAGGGGGCAAGCGUUGUCCGGAAUCAUUGGGCGUAAAGAGCGUGUAGGCGGAUCGGUAAGUCUACUCUGAAAGCUCCUGGCUAAACUGGGAGAGGCGAGUGGAGACUGUCGGUCUAGAGUGAGGAAGAGGAAAGUGGAAUUCCGCGUGUAGUGGUGAAAUGCGUAGAGAUGCGGAGGAACACCAGUGGCGAAAGCGGCUUUCUGGUCCUUAACUGACGCUGAGGCGCGAAAGCAUGGGGAGCGAACGGG